UACGUAGGUGGCAAGCGUUGUUCGGAGUUACUGGGCGUAAAGGGUGUGUAGGCGGUUAUUUUAGUUUGGUGUGAAAUCUCCCGGCUCAACCGGGAGGGUGCGCCGAAUACUGAAUGACUUGGAGUGCGGGAGAGGAAAGUGGAAUUCCCGGUGUAGUGGUGAAAUGCGUAGAUAUCGGGAGGAACACCAGUGGCGAAGGCGACUACCUGGUCUGUUCUUGACGCUGAGGCGCGAAAGCUAGGGGAGCAAACGGG
rnacentral:rRNA from 1 species